CGAGGCUCAGUGAAUGGCAGGCUCUGGACGCAGCUCACCCAACAAGCUGGGACUUGAAGUUUCUAAGCCCAGGCCAGGUCAUUUCCUCUUGCUCUCCUCUGUCCCCUGGAGACUUCUUGUCUGCUGUCCUGUUUGUUGAGUAUCAUCUCUUCUCAUCUCAUCUGUGUGUGGAGCUAUGUGGCAGAGAGGAGCGGGUCACCUCUUUGUGCCUUGCAUUCCCCUUUGUGAUACCGACGAGAGGGAGAGAUUCUGCUGCACACAGAGGCAAGACGACCCACCCCAAUCCCUGCAAGCCAGAUCCUGUGAAGACAGCAGACCAGCCAGUAUCCACAGCAGCCCCGUGCAAUAGGCAUGACUAGCAAGUCCCAUGCUACAAUGAGAAAACCAGUGCUCGCACCUCUUACCCACUUAGAGGAAGACAGGGUCCUCUGAAGCCAGAUUCUUUUUCUCACAACAGAUGGAUUUCUGGAAUAUUCUAGGAUGUCAAGCUGAGGCAGGCUUCCUGUAAGGUUAGGAGUAGUAUGGUUGAUGAUAUCCAAAAUGAGCCCAGUAGAUGGAAGAGGGGUCUUGGGGGUGCCUGGUGUCAUACAUAGGCAGGUUGUAGACACAGGGUGAGUGGGAGCCAUUCCCUGUCCAUGUCUUCCUCUGAGCAAUCUCCCACUCCACGCUUCUGUUCCCUUCAUCUGUGAAGUGUCUACAGGUGGACUUGUUUCGUCUCCAUUCUGUCCCUGACACCUGCUCCUUUCCAGGACAGAUACUAAGAUGGACUGGACAAGCCACCCCCAUAUAACACCACUUCAUGUUUAGACCAGCGACUUCUCAAGGUGUUUUUGAUUUUGUGUUCUAGCAAUUAAAAAAAAAAAAACAAACAAAGCUGCGUAU